rnacentral:rRNA from 1 species
UACGGAGGGGGCUAGCGUUGUUCGGAAUUACUGGGCGUAAAGCGCACGUAGGCGGACCAGCAAGUUAGGGGUGAAAUCCCGGGGCUCAACCCCGGAACUGCCUUUAAAACUGUUGGUCUGGAGGUCGAGAGAGGUGAGUGGAAUUCCGAGUGUAGAGGUGAAAUUCGUAGAUAUUCGGAAGAACACCAGUGGCGAAGGCGGCUCACUGGCUCGAUACUGACGCUGAGGUGCGAAAGCGUGGGGAGCAAACAGG